UAGAUGGGAUUUGUAGAUGGACACAUCAUAUCUGGAGCUCUUCAGUUAUCCUGCAACAGUGUGACUCUUGUCCUAACUUUUUUUUCAGAUUGAGAUGGAUUAAAUCUGUGCCAGAGGGCCCAUCCCAGGUGUGGGGAUUCUCCCAAGCAGGAAGUCAAUCUGGAUGCCAGCAGUCAAGGUGGGCAGCGGGGAGAAGUGGUUGUUAUUGCUCAGCUCUGAAGCACAACAAUUUUUCAGCAGAUUCAUCGUGUCACAAGAGGGAUCUGCCCAGUGUCAAGGAUGAUGUUUGAGAUUGAGGCUUCAGGUGCCACUCCUAAUAAAGGCCACAGCCUUGGAAUCAGGAUGAAGCUGGAGCCUGAAGGAGCCAGGCACGCUCAGGAGAGGACAAGUAGCUGCCUUGCAGGGAUUUGGCCCACAUAACUCUGGACUCGCACUUUGGUUUUGGUUUCUUUAUUGUAGCUGACCAGAGACUAACAGGUGAUCAUGGGGCCCUCCAAGGCAGACUCAUUUCAGGUGCAGCGUGGAUUCCCAUCACCGAUCAUCCAAAAGAUAAGUCGGGGGCCACGGCCUGGAGAUGGGAGAGUAGCAGGUUGGGAAUCCCUGGGUCAGAUUUAAAAAUUGGCAGCGGGAAAAGCAAUCUUCUCCAAGGGCCUCUUAGGACGGCUAAAGGGAGAGGCUCUACUUUUGAUGGCAGCUUUCAGGCAGGCAGUGCAGAACAGCUCUGGUCUGUGUCGUGUUGUCCGGUGUGCCGUGUUCCCUAGUGUGUCUUUGGGGUCCCUUUUGCCUUCCCACCUCAAUCCCCUCACCACAAGCAUGAUGUGUCGUGUUUCUUGUCCCCCCUGUUUGUCACGUUCUGUGUCACGG